GGCACGCGACGGCUCGCAGUCCUCUCCCGUGCUGCGGCGACACAUGCUUCCCGGAUCGGCGCUUGCCCGCCGCCAUGGAGCCAGCCCACUGUCACUACGCCGCCGCCAUGGCGCGACCAAAAUGCGCGCCUAGGCGCAACAGCGCGUCCCGGCCGCCCGAGUAGCCCGCGUUCUGGCCGGCGUGAAUGCGUACCGCGACGAGACCCGGAUGCAGGCCAACGCACCAACCAUAAGACAAAUUCUUUCUCGUGUAAACGAGCUGAAGACGGGGUUUCCGCUUGCAAGCCUUCCCAUUGGUGAAGCCGCAGCGCUCCGGCUGUUACGUUUCGCGGGGACACGAAACCAACUGCACGCAAAGUGGGAAACCUUGUCGCCGAAAGAAAACGGAAAGCAAGAAUAGCCAGCGCACGAAACUUGGAGGUGUUAAGCUUGGCGCGCGUGAAAUUCAAGUGCGCUGACAAGGUGCCUAGCUGCGAUAACGGUCCAAUCGGCAAAAAGAGGGCACGACGAAAUUGAGGACCGGGAGCGCGCUACCGUAAGAGAAAGCCCGGCACGCAUCCUUCCUCCCUCCGAGCACUUGGUCUUACAAGGAGGCGAGGCAUCCAAAGAUAUGCAAAGCGCCUCCACCAACG
rnacentral:misc_RNA from 1 species